AUGGCGGCGUGCAACGGCCUGUUCGUGUACCACAUCCUCGGCCUGGCCUCCCUGCUGGCCGUGUUCUACUUUUCCCUCCUCGGCGAGGUGGACCUCCGCUUCCCCGGCCUCCUCCCGUCCCCCGGUGCGUCCCGGUCCCACGACGCGUCCCUGCCGUUCGUGGAGCGGCGCGGCGCGCAGCUCUUCCUGGAGGGCCGCCCAUUCUACAUCAACGGGUGGAACUCGUACUGGCUCAUGGACCAGGCCGUGGAGCCGGCCAGCCGCCACCGCGUGUCGGACAUGUUCCGCGCCGCCACCGGGAUGGGGCUCACGGUGUGCCGCACCUGGGCCUUUAACGACGGCGCCUACAACGCGCUCCAGCUCUCCCCGGGACACUUCGACGAGCGCGUCUUCAAGGCGCUGGACAUGGUGGUCGUGGAGGCCCGGCGGCACGGCGUGCGGCUCAUCCUCAGCCUGGCCAACAACCUGGAGGCGUACGGCGGGAAGACGCAGUACGUGCGGUGGGCGUGGGACGAAGGCGUCGGCCUCACCGCCUCCAACGACUCCUUCUUCUUCGACCCCGCCAUCCGCGACUACUUCAAAGUCUACCUCAAGGCAUUGUUGACGAGGACGAACCACUUGACGGGGGUGCAGUACAAGGACGACCCUACCAUCUUGGCGUGGGAGCUGAUGAACGAGCCCAGAUGCAUUACCGAUCCGUCCGGUAACACUCUGCAGCGCUGGAUCGAUGAGAUGGCGGGGUACGUGAAGUCGAUCGACCGUCGGCACCUGCUGACCGUCGGCACGGAGGGGUUCUACGGCCCCACGAGCCCGCCGGAGAAGCUGAGCGUGAAUCCGGGGCACUGGUUCAACAACUACGGCCUCGACUUCAUCCGCAACUCCAAGAUCUCCGACAUCGACUUCGCCUCCGUCCACCUUUACCCGGACACCUGGCUGCUGGACGCGAAUCUGGAAGAGAAGCUCAAGUUCGUGACGAAGUGGGUGAGCUCCCACUUCGAGGACGGCGACACGGAGCUCGGCGGCAAGCCCGUGGUGCUCACGGAGUUCGGGCUGUCGCAUUUGGUCAAGGGGUUCGAGCAGUCGCAGCGCGACGCCUUCUACAAGUCGGUGUACGACAUCGUCCACGAGUCGGCCAAGAGGGGCGGCGCCGGCGCCGGCGCGAUAGUGUGGCAGCUCGCCGCCGAGGACAUGGAGGAGUACCACGACGGCUUCGCCAUCGUGCCCAGCGAGACGCCGUCCAUGCAGAAGCUGCUGACGGAGCAGUCGUGCAGGCUGGCCGCGCUGAGGCACGGGGAGCAGGAGGCCAAGAGGAUCCUCAAGGCGGUGUGCGGCUGA
rnacentral:rRNA from 1 species